AGCUUUGCGCAGAGGCAGUGUCAUAGCCAAUGAGGUACUACCGAGGCAUGACUAUUGCUAGUUGAAAACCCUUAUACUCAUAUUAUUUUACUCUUCAGUGCAGUAUUAAAAAAAUAACUAUGGUAUUUACGAUUAAAUCGAAUUUUUGUUAAAUUGUUUCAUCUAAGUGGUUCAGU
rnacentral:snRNA from 1 species